UUGGAGAAUUCUGACCAUAAAUGACUCUUGUACGCCUUAUCUCUCUCUCUCUCUGCUGCUCUUUAUUGCCCUCGUUCCCACACUACUGAGUUGCCAACUCCAAGGUUGCCACUUUUCCAUUCAUGGCCAUACCCCGCAUCCUUAAACCCGCCAUUCUAGCGUCCCCAUCUUCACAUUUCACUCCCUCUGUACCCUCACUUCCUUUUCCAUUCAAAACCCACUCUAAGUCACUCUUCUUCACCAUCUUUCCUUCGGGAAUUCACGGCCACCAUACCCCACCACCAACAUUAUCCAGAAGAUUGUUCCUUCCUUCAGUUUCUGGAAUCUGGGAUGCCUUGACCAGCGGUAACAAUGCACGUGAAGCCGGUGUUGCCAUCCGCCGUGGAAUGCUGCUCUUUCGGCAGGGUGAUGUUCAGGGUUCUUUAGUGGAAUUCGACAAGGCAAUUGAGUUGGAUCCUCGUCAAAAGGCAUAUCUUUGGCAAAGGGGGCUCUCGUUAUACUAUCUUGAUAGGUUUGAAGAAGGGGCAGAACAAUUCAGGUUAGAUGUUGCACAGAAUCCAAACGAUACGGAGGAGUCCAUAUGGUGCUUUCUUUGUGAAGCUCAGCUAUAUGGAAUUAGUGAAGCAAGGAAACGAUUUCUUGAGGUUGGCAAAGAUCCACGUCCCGUCAUGCGAGAGGCUUAUAACAUGUUUAAAAAUGGUGGGGAUCCUGAAAAGCUUGUUGCUGAAUUUUCUAAUGGCCAGGAGAAUGAAAAAUUUUAUGCUUCUUUGUAUGCUGGGCUUUAUUAUGAAUCUGAGAGUUCAGCAAUUUACGUCUGUGCAGAAAAAAGCUGAUGCAGCCAAGCUUCACGUACUCGCUUCAUGCCAAACUCCUUAUGGACAGAGGUCUGAUGAUUAUAUGGCUUCACUUGCGAAGGUUCACUGCAUCUGUCGAAAUUGGAGCUUGAACUAAAUUAUUUAAGCUCAUGCUUGAAGUUGCUUUCUUCACUACUUUAGCUGCUCUCCCAAGUCCUUACAAAUAUUUAGAUAAUAUUCAUAAUCAAGAGUAAGGCUUUGUUGAGGGAAAUCAAGUUGGGUGUUAUAACUACAAAGAAUCUAUUUCAAGAGUAUGAUUUAUUUUGCCUUCCUUCUCUACUUAGAUUCGGAGUACCACGAGAGAGAUCUAUGCAGCACUGAUCACAUUGAGCCAAUGCAGCCGUGCCAUUAGAAGCCUUUCAAGUGAAUCGUCAUAGCAAGAUCUGUUGUUUUCUGUUGUUCUGUUUAAUGUCAAGAGUCAAGUUUAUGAUUGAUAAAAUCACUGGUUUCCAUGCCCAGUUGGUUACAGAUACUUUACAUAACAUUGGGAGAUUUUACAUUUUAUAAUCAUGUUAAGAUGGUUUAGAAUGCGAUUCUUUUAACAAUGGUUUAUUAUUAGCUUUUUCAUCCCA